UUUUUUUUUUUUUUGCUUUUUAGGGCUGCACCCGUGGCAUAUGGAGGUUCCCAGGCUAGGGAUCAAAUGGGAGCUAUAGCUACCAGCCUACACCGAUGGAUCCCUUCCCAAUGAGUGAGCCCAGGGAUCGAACCUGCAUCCCCAUGGAUCCUAGUCAGGUUCGUUAACCGCUGAGCUGAGAAGGGAACUCCCUGAUGGGGGCUCUUCUUAAUGUUUGAAGAGCCACACUGCCCCAAGAGCCGCCGAAGAAGUUUCUCGGUCCUCUGCUGGGCCUUCAAGGAAGCCUGUUGCAAGGAGGGCCCAGGGCGCGAUGGAUAUGGAGGCUGAUGAGGGGGCAGAAGGAAGCCUGCUGUUUCCUUGGCCACAGUGCCGGAACAGGGGCGAAGGGUCCCACCUUUCCUGAACAGCAGAGGGUCUCCAUGUACCUGGGAUGAAGAAGCUUCCAGGCCUGGGCCCAUCCCUGGAGCAGAGGGAAGGGGGCAUGCGGGGCUCACUGGAUGGCCCCCCGAGGCCAGGGUGGAGGGAGGAGGUGAUGUCAAGUGUCGGGGGGGGGGGCGGGGGGGGGGGGGACAUGGUACCCGCGGGGGCNNNNNNNNNNNNNNNNNNNNNNNNNNNNNNNNNNNNNNNNNNACACCAAAAGGUGAACAGUGCUGGCAGAAAACAGCUCUAAGCAGCAGACAGGCAGCGCCAGCGAGCAGGCACCGCAGCCCGGGUAACAGAGAGCAUCGAGCAUGUGUGUGUGUGAGCAGAGUGUGUGUGUAUUUGCGUGUGGCUGUGUGUGUGGUGUAGAGGCAUGUGCGUCUGUGUGGGGGCAUGAUGUGUGCGAGGGCUGUGUGGUAUGUGAGUACCCAGUGUGUGUGUGGACAGGUGCGGGGGGUAUGGGAUGUGUGUGGGUUUGUAUAUAGCGUGUAUAUUUGUGUGUGUGCUGGGUGUGUAGUAUGCGGUGUGGGAAGGUGGUGAUGCGUGUGCCAUGCGUGUGUAUGGUGUAUGCGUGUAUCUGUGCAGCACGGGUGUGUGUGUGGGGGGUGCUGUGUGCAGUAUACAUGUGGUGGGUGUGGAGGGGACAGGCCCUGUGAGGGUGUUGUGCGUGUGUGGUGUGCGUGGUACAUGUGACGUGUGUGCGUGCGUGUACACAGUGUGUGUGGUGUGUUUGCCGUGUCCAGGAGGGUAUGUGAGUGAUGUUUGGAGAUGUCUGUUAUAGCGUGUGUAUUUGUGUGUGGUGUGUGUAUGGGGGGAGUGUUGUGUGUGUGUGUGUGUGUGUGUGUGGUUGUAACACAGGCUGGAGAACCUGGGCGCGGGCGGGACCCUGCCUCCCUGGCUCCCCGCACCCCAGGCUUGACCUCACAGCAGGAAGAAGGUGCUUGGGGACACGCCUGGCGGGUGCAGAACGUGACACCAGAGGACACCCCCCUCCCACCUCUGCCUGGGCCCUCCUGGGGUUUCGAGAAGCAUUUAGGGGAAAACAAGAGGGUUGAGGUUCCCACAGAGCUGCUGGGAGCAGGUCAGAAAACCACGAUCUUGACCAACUUAGGGAUCCUAUUUUUAGGCCCAGCUGGUGGGGCUGGGAAAGGAGUUUACCUGUGAGCAUUUCACCUGCUCCGGGCACGAGCUUCCUGUGGCCCUGGGGAUGCCUUGCUCCUCUGAGCCCCCACCGGCCAGCUCAUGGCAGACACCUGUCCUGAACUACGUGCACGUGUGGCUGAGCUAAUUAAAGAUGAAAGCAUCACAUCUGACCACAAUCCACUGAGUGCCUGAACCCCCAAAGGUCCUUCCUAACUCAAGACCCCUCGAUAUGCAGACACGCAGCCUUGGGGACCCGGCCGAGCCACCUGUCCUUUUCCCCCUCACCCUGUCCUGCUAUCCCCUGGCUGCUGCAUAUCUUUGUAGCUCCCUAUCACGCCUGCUCAGCGUGCCUCUGGGCCUUUGCACUUGCUGUUCGUGCUUCCUGGCACACGCUUCCUUUCCUUCUCCACCUACUCAGCACCUUCCCCUGGAAGCCCACCCUGCUGUCCCGGGAUGAGGAGGUGCCUCCUCUCUGCUCCCCAUGACUGUGGCACCCAGGAUUCUAUGUCUUGUGCUUCCCUCAUCAUCCAGCCUCACUGCCUCCCGUGACUGCCCAGCACUCACUGAGCUCUCCCUCCCCUCCUUCUUGCCAACACGCAGGUCAAAUUGAUGCAUCAAAUAUUUGCGGAAGGAAUCAAACACACGCUGCUAUGAGGAGGGCCCAAAGAAUGAUCAUAGACGCAUCCCCAGUUUGCAAGGAGUUCAUGCCUAUUGUCACUCAGUAAGAUAAACAUCUGGAAUAACUAAUAUCUUGCAGGCAAUGUCAUGCAUCAAAUCAAUGGUGAACGUAAUACACAUUGUGGGGGGAAUAAGGGGUAGCGGAAAGAACUUUGGAGGCUGGAGAAAUCAUCAGAGACUUCCUGGAAGAGGUGGCUUUGAGUUAGGUCUCGACCAACCACAGUAGUCAGUUUAUUUCUAUUAACGAAAGGUAAUAAAUACAGUUCAUUCUCAUUAUGUUCUAGAAAGUCACUAUGAACAUGCAAUGAGCCAAGAUUAAAUUAUCCCUCCUCGGUGAAAUAUGAGUUUAGGUUCCUGCGAACUUCUGGUCACAGUUUGGUUAGUCAAUCAAUACUUAUGUGAGUUUCUGUCUACAGACACCGUAGUUAGUAUUGUUGACUCGUUAACCGUGGACUCGCGGCCAAGAGAGCUAGAACUCACGCCUGCACACAGUUUCCCUGCUGUGCUCUCUGUCAGAUGUCACAUGAUGACCUUCUUGACCUUCAGCAGUAUGUGUGGGGACCCCAGGGACAUUAGCAACAAAAAGCACAAGCGUGCUAACCCUAACCUUAAAGAAGAUAUUCAACUUUUUGCCACUCUGUACACGUCUGCAAAUAACCAUACAAGCACCACGAGUAUCGAUUUUGGGGCUGCACAUGGUUAGCGAGUAGGCGAAUGACAAAUACAGAAUCUGUGAAUAACGAGAGUGGAGUGUUAGAGCAUCCCUUUCCCCCUCCCACGUUUGAGGGUUGCCAGGGGCUUUGCAGUGGGAUCCAGCAAAGCACAUAACUGCGGUUGCACAGAGUGGCUCUUCCACCCUUGGCCGUCUAGGCUGCCUGCAGGUGGGCUGGCUCCCCCAUCCCUCCCCCGCAAGGAAGGCGCGCACCCCCAGGUGACGCUGGGACCCCGCAGCCCAUCUCCCAUCCACAGCAAGAGCCUGGAGGCCAUGACCGUCCUCUCACUGCCCGGGCCUCUGGAAGCAUCCAUCAGCCUCCUUCUGAUAACGAAUGAAUCCUGACAACCUGCGAGUCUUUCCCUCAUCCGGUUGCCUUGUUCGGGAAUUUCUCCUCUGAGCAGCAGCUCGGCUCUGGGCCCAGGAGAAGUGGCAUCAAAAGCCUGGAUGACAGGGGCUGGGGCUGGGCCAGCGUCCGGGCCUGGGUCCCCCGAUAUCCCAGGAAAUCAGUGGAAACUCGCCACAUGGCUCCCCACCUCCCGAGGGGUGUUCAGUCAUCACGUGUCGUCGCCUAUUCAAAAUCAUUAAAGCCAACCUCAGAGCUGGGAUCCAGGGACUCUCUUGAAGGGGACAUUUUUCCCUGGAUCUGGCCCAUGGCUGACCCAGUUUUUAGUCUGGCUACCAAACUGGUAGCUUCUCUCCAGCUGUUCUCACCACAAGAGCGAACCUCUCUCCAUCCAAAAAGGACAAAUCCAUUCUGGUGACCAGCAGACAGCUCCGCAAGCUAUGACCUGAGAAAUAAUCUAGAACAAGCAGGGAAUCAGCCAAGAGAGAUCCACUUAUUAAAUGCCUAAUAAGAAUAGAAAACCAUUUCUUGAGUGCUUGCUGUCUGCCAGGCAGGCACUGGGCUGUGUGCUUUAGAGCUGUUACCUUGGUCUCGCUAAACUUGAGGUGGAGGCUAUUUUCCAGAUUUUCUUGUUGUUUUCCGGAUGAGGAAGGCAGGCUUAGGGGGUCAGGACAGGUGCUCCAGGCCACACAGCUUGUCCUUCUGGGAGGCAGGAUGGAAGGCUGGGGCUGGGUCUAGAGUCCAGCCCUUAACCAACACAUCUAGGUUGGCUCAACCAACUGCCCCGUGGCCGCGAGGGUCCCUGGGGCCCGGUCCCUAGGAGGCCUGAAUGACCCAGAUGUUGAUGAGACAAGAGCGCAGCUGUAGCCAUCCAGGGAAAGGGGACACCCAGGAGGAGCGUGAUCUGCUCGCUUCCUCCCAAAUGCGGACUUUUACCAAUGAAGCCAGAACAAAUGUAUUUGAAAUGUGAAGACACAUGUAGGAUAAUUGGCUAUUUAACUUGGAAAAGAGGGGGAUGGUGGUAUGGACUGGAUGUUUGUGUCCCCCCACCCCAACUUCACAUGCUAAGACCCUAACACCCAUGUGAUGGUGUUAGGAGGUGGGUGGGGCCUUGAGGAAGUAAGUAGGUCAUGAGGGUGGGGCCCUCAUGAGUAAGGUUAGUGCCCUUUAAAAGGGACCCAGAGAGCUCUCUUUCCCCCCUUCCACCAUGUGAGAACACAAUGAAAAGAUGGCAGUCUAGGACCCAGAAGAGGGGUCUCACCAGAACCCAACCCUGCUGGCACCCUGAUCUCGGGCUUCCGGCCUCCGAACUACAGGAAAUAAACUUGCAUAUUUAUGAGCCACCUGGUCUAUGGUACUUUGUUACAGCAGCCCGAACAGACUGAGAGAGACAAGCUUGGCAGAGCCCGGAGCAGGUGCCUGCGAUAAAGUAGGGGGCCAGGCAAAGAAAAGAGACUUGGCCGGAUCACAGAAGCUGAGCCCUGAUUUGCUGGAGGGCAGGGAUCACGGCCACAGCCCCUCGGGAGGCCCGAAUGAGUUAGUGUCUGUGAAGAACACGGAUGGCUGGCCCAGCAAACAUCCAGGAAGAAGGUUGCCACCGUCAUCCUUGUCGCCGUCAUCAUUAUGGCCUUGGAUGCUCCACGUCCACAGUGAACACUAUUGUCCCCAAAGGGGCCUUUUGAAACAGAAGCCUGUGACUGACCGAGCGCCGGCCAGGCAGGUGGAAGCUUUGUAUGUGGCUGUCGAUGCACCUGCACCUUAUUUUAAUGCAUCCUUCGCUGAGCCUGGUGUGCGGCAGUGGGAAACUGUGAGCUGGGAGGCCAGACUGGGACUCCAGGCUCCACCCUUCAUUAAGCAGCUGUACAACCCUUGGGUCGGUCUGCUGAACACACUGUCUUUAAACCUGGAGAGAAUCCUGAAUCCACCGUCCUUGACCAGAGGAGGGGCUCAAUAAAUGGCCAGUACUUUUACGAGACCACGGAGGCUCAGAGAGGUUAAAGUUACACCCCUAGAAAAUUCGGGAGGGAGGAUUCACACCUAGGCUUCUGGCAUCCAGGCACGUUACAGGUCAGCCCAGCAUGUUGGUGAAUACACUGAAAUAAACCCAGUGUGAUGGUUAAUAGAAUGUGUUGACUUGACUAAGCCACGCCCCCAGAU
rnacentral:lncRNA from 1 species